UACGUAGGGAGCAAGCGUUGUCCGGAAUCAUUGGGCGUAAAGCGCGCGUAGGUGGCUUCGUAAGUCCGUUGUGAAAGUCAAAGGCUCAACCUUUGAAAGCCGAUGGAUACUGCGGAGCUAGAGUACGGAAGAGGCGAGUGGAAUUCCUGGUGUAGCGGUGAAAUGCGCAGAUAUCAGGAAGAACACCAAUGGCGAAGGCAGCUCUCUGGGACGGUACUGACGCUGAGACGCGAAAGCGUGGGGAGCGAACAGG
rnacentral:rRNA from 1 species